rnacentral:lncRNA from 1 species
UUUAAAUGGGUCGUAGCAGUCACUAUAAUAAGUGUGCCUGGAGCCAGUGGGAGCUAUCGGGCUGCUAUAAAAGUGGGUGGGGAGGAACAGCGCUGAGCACCCGAGGGCCGCCUGCUGCCCUACAGAGAGCUGCCAGCCCUUGUGGGGCUCUGCACCCACCCCCUGUGCUGACAUUGAAGGCUGGGGGGCUGCUCCUGCUGAGGGGAUCCCGAAUUUGAGUGGAAAAAGGUGAAACUGAGCAGUGCGAGGAAACCCAGCAGGGAGGAGGGAGCUGGGCUCUGCUUCGCUCUCAGCUGUUCCCGAGUGCUCGGCCCGCACACAUCCCUCGUGCCACAUCGACAGCGUUCUGUGAGCCAGGAGCACGGGAAGGUGCUCAGAAAUGUGAGAGAGGAGAGCUCAGCUCCUACUCUGAGUGGAAAAACCGUGCCUGUGGUGUGUGAUGGAGGGGGGAUGGGAUGGCUGGUACCUGCCGGGAGCCCCGAGGGUGCUGCAGCUCCUGGACUUUCACAGCUGGGGAACAAAUCUUGCUAUGAAAUGAAUACAGCAUGAUGGCUUCUGCAGGCAAUGGGAAGGUCGGCAGUCGGCUGUCACAUGCAGAAAUGUGAUGAGGGAUGGGAUGAGGGGUGGGGUGAUGGAGCCGCCCAUCACCCCGCAGGGCUGAUGCAGGCUCUGUGCUGAGCUGCAGGGAGAAGCGGACAUCCAUCCCCCAAAUUCCACCAAUGGGCUGCAGUCCGGCUGGAGUGGUGCUCACAGCUGGGGAUCCAUCCCACUCUGUGCUGGGUUGGGGUGGUGGGAUGUAGGGAAAUAUCAUCUCUGGGCCCCCAACCAAGGCACCGGUCCAGGCGGUGCUCCCAGCUUUGACAGCCCGGUGCCAAAUCCAUCCUUUCUCCCUGUGCAGAGUGAAACCUGUUGCAAUUCGUAACAGCAACGCUUCAGCUCAGCUCCAGCUGUGCACCGGGCAGGAGGGAUGCUGGGCAGGGCUGCAUCCCACUCCUUCCCUUAUGCGUCUUCCUUUAGGAUCAGAAAGGCCUUUUGUAGGGCACGGAGAGCUGAGAGCCCGCAGUCCCAUUGUGCAACAGCUGUGGAGGCAUUCGAGGAAACAGAAAAACAUCCGCAGCACUGCCAGGACACAGCAAAGGCAGUGAGUGCAGCUCCAGAGCUGGGAACGAGCCGUGCAGAGAGGGAAAUUCCUUGCAUUCUUAGCAGUGGGAAGGUGGAAUUGGGGUAGAACACCGAGUGAGUGCCAAGGUAUCAAGAACGCCCUUCUUGCUUUUAACCACUGUGCUCGUGUUGAAUUCAGGGAUGUUUUUGGAGUGGAUUUGAUCUGUUGAAAGAAGCACCGUGCUGGAUGUGAGGGGAGGGAAGCAGAGCACUGCUGUGUCCCUGAGGCAGAUCCCAGCUCACGGCUCGGGGCAGCUGUGCUGGUGCUGUAACCACGUACAGCUCCUGAUCCUCCUCUCCCUGUUUGCUCCCCGGGCACCGUGUGGGGGCUGCGAACUGCAGCCUGAAAAUGGAUCUGUGUGAGUCACGGCUUAAAGCCAGGAAAGAAAAAAAAACCACCAAUAAAGCGAUCCGAAGCCAUAAAAC